CGCGUCCAUGUGACUGCAGGACACAUGAACACCGAUACGUUGAACGCAUAUUGCGCGUCGGACGAUUAAACCCGGCCGAUGCACACAUUCUUGAGUGCCUACCAAAUCCUUGUUACACAAUAAACCUAACUACAGGGUGCCGCGUGCAGCGAACAUACACCAUGGCGAGCAGCCCGCCUGGUGUCGCUGGCCAACGCGCGUGCACACUGUGCAUAAUGGCGUGCUCGGUCCUCCGGGACUUAGGGCGCUGAAAGGUUAUGGCAAGUACUGUUACCUCAAAAGUACGCGUGGUACAAAGUCACAUGGUUCGGCUUUGAUAGACGAUCUGAGACCCCGUUAGCCUAAUACACCUGGUUAUCGCUAGUUUAUCAGACCCAAUCUUCUAUCGAGUCGUGUAACACUUGUGAACCCGGCCGAUCGUGCUUACCUAUGUGCAGUACAUACCGCCUGAAAGCUACACAACCCCGUUAGCUAAUAUGUAGGCCUCAAGUGAUGUGAGACUACCCCCUAAAUUUAAGCAU
rnacentral:rRNA from 1 species